rnacentral:rRNA from 1 species
UACGGGGGGGGCAAGCGUUGUUCGGAAUUACUGGGCGUAAAGGGCUCGUAGGCGGCCAACUAAGUCAGACGUGAAAUCCCUCGGCUUAACCGGGGAACUGCGUCUGAUACUGGAUGGCUUGAGUUUGGGAGAGGGAUGCGGAAUUCCGAGGUGUAGCGGUGAAAUGCGUAGAUAUCUGGAGGAACACCGGUGGCGCAAGGCGGCAUCCUGGACCGGUAUUGACACUGAUGAGCGAAAAGCAGGGGAGCAAA